rnacentral:RNase_P_RNA from 1 species
UAAGUAAAUCGGAUAGUCGCGGGCUGGAAACAGUCUGAGGAAAGUCGGAGCUCCACAGGGCAGGGUGCUGGAUAACGUCCAGUGGGGGUGACCUCAAGGAAAGUGCCACAGAAAUAAACCGCCCGGCACUCAAAAGAAUUUAAUUGUUAAAAAAACAACAAAUUAACCAUUUCAGUCAUUGUUUUUAGCAAAUUAAAUUGCUUUGAGUGCCGGGUAAGGGUGGAACGGUGAGGUAAGAGCUCACCAGCAUUUAGGUGACUAAAUGGCUAGGCAAACCCCACCUGGAGCAAGACCAAAUAGAGGAACCAUGGAAUUGCCCGUUCCGUUCCCGGGUUAGGUCGCUUGAAGUACCAGGCAACUGGUAUUCCAGAUAGAUGACUAUCGAAAACAGAACUCCGCUUACAGAUUUACUUACUUU